GGGGUGACUAGUGACAGAGUUAGGGAGGGAAGGGGGUGACUAGUGACAGAGGGAGGGGUGACUAGGGACAGAGGGAGGGAGGUGGUGACUAGUGACAGUCACCCCCUCCCUCACUCUGUCACUAGUCACCCCCUCCCUCACUCUGUCACUAGUCACUCCCUCCCUCUGUCACUGGUCACCCACUCCCUCCCUCACUCUGUCACCAGUCAUCCCC